rnacentral:rRNA from 1 species
AGUGAACGCUGGCGGUAGGCCUAACACAUGCAAGUCGAACGGCAGCACAGUAAGAGCUUGCUCUUACGGGUGGCGAGUGGCGGACGGGUGAGGAAUACAUCGGAAUCUACUUUUUCGUGGGGGAUAACGUAGGGAAACUUGCGCUAAUACCGCAUACGACCUACGGGUGAAAGCAGGGGAUCUUCGGACCUUGCGCGAUUGAAUGAGCCGAUGUCGGAUUAGCUAGUUGGCGGGGUAAAGGCCCACCAAGGCGACGAUCCGUAGCUGGUCUGAGAGGAUGAUCAGCCACAGUGGAACUGAGACACGGUCCAGACUCCUGCGGGAGGCAGCAGUGGGGAAUAUUGGACAAUGGGCGCAAGCGUGAUCCAGCCAUACCGCGUGGGUGAAGAGGGCCUUCGGGUUGUAAAGCCCUUUUGUUGGGAAAGAAAAGCAGCAGGUUAAUACCCCGCUGUUCUGACGGUACCCAAAGAAUAAGCACCGGCUAACUUCGUG